rnacentral:rRNA from 1 species
GGGGGACGGAGAAGGCUAUGUUGGCCGGGCGACGGUUGUCCCGGUUUAAGCGUGUAGGUGUGUGUUCCAGGUAAAUCCGGUUCACUUUAACACUGAGGCGUGACGACGAGGCACUACGGUGCUGAAGCAACAAAUGCCCUGCUUCCAGGAAAAGCCUCUAAGCAUCAGGUAACAUCAAAUCGUACCCCAAACCGACACAGGUGGUCAGGUAGAGAAUACCAAGGCGCUUGAGAGAACUCGGGUGAAGGAACUAGGCAAAAUGGUGCCGUAACUUCGGGAGAAGGCACGCUGACACGUAGGUGAAGUGAUUUACUCAUGGAGCUGAAGUCAGUCGAAGAUACCAGCUGGCUGCAACUGUUUAUUAAAAACACAGCACUGUGCAAACACGAAAGUGGACGUAUACGGUGUGACGCCUGCCCGGUGCCGGAAGGUUAAUUGAUGGGGUCAGCGCAAGCGAAGCUCCUGAUCGAAGCCCCGGUAAACGGCGGCCGUAACUAUAACGGUCCUAAGGUAGCGAAAUUCCUUGUCGGGUAAGUUCCGACCUGCACGAAUGGCGUAAUGAUGGCCAGGCUGUCUCCACCCGAGACUCAGUGAAAUUGAACUCGCUGUGAAGAUGCAGUGUACCCGCGGCAAGACGGAAAGACCCCGUGAACCUUUACUAUAGCUUGACACUGAACAUUGAGCCUUGAUGUGUAGGAUAGGUGGGAGGCUUUGAAGUGUGGACGCCAGUCUGCAUGGAGCCGACCUUGAAAUACCACCCUUUAAUGUUUGAUGUUCUAACGUGGACCCGUAAUCCGGGUUGCGGACAGUGUCUGGUGGGUAGUUUGACUGGGGCGGUCUCCUCCUAAAGAGUAACGGAGGAGCACGAAGGUUGGCUAAUCCUGGUCGGACAUCAGGAGGUUAGUGCAAUGGCAUAAGCCAGC